AAUAGAUACCCAGGUAGUCCACGCCGUAAACGAUGAAUGCUAAGUGUUAGAGGGUUUCCGCCCUUUAGUGCUGCAGCUAACGCAUUAAGCACUCCGCCUGGGGAGUACGGCCGCAAGGCUGAAACUCAAAGGAAUUGACGGGGGCCCGCACAAGCGGUGGAGCAUGUGGUUUAAUUCGAAGCAACGCGAAGAACCUUACCAGGUCUUGACAUCCUCUGCCAACCCUAGAGAUAGGGCGUUCCCCUUCGGGGGACAGAGUGACAGGUGGUGCAUGGUUGUCGUCAGCUCGUGUCGUGAGAUGUUGGGUUAAGUCCCGCAACGAGCGCAACCCUUGAUCUUAGUUGCCAGCAUUCAGUUGGGCACUCUAAGGUGACUGCCGGUGACAAACCGGAGGAAGGUGGGGAUGACGUCAAAUCAUCAUGCCCCUUAUGACCUGGGCUACACACGUGCUACAAUGGAUGGUACAAAGAGCUGCGAACCCGCGAGGGUAAGCGAAUCUCAUAAAGCCAUUCUCAGUUCGGAUUGUAGG
rnacentral:rRNA from 1 species